ACCGACGUUAGGUCAGACCCCUAACCCUGGUUUGGCCUACUAUCCAACACACACACCGUUGACCAACCACUGAUCGAACCAAACUCUGAAGUUUCGGCUGUCGUUAAUCGGCAGUUUUAACGGAAACAACUCUCAACAACGGAAAUCUUGGAUCUCGCAACGAUGAAGAACGCAACGAAAUGCGAUACGUAGUGUGAAUUGCACAAUUCCGUGAACCAUCGAAUCUUUGAACGCAUAUUGCGCUCGACUCCUCGGAGAAGAGCAUGUCUGCCUCAGCGUCGGUUUACACCCUCACCCCUCUUCCUUACCAGGAAGCUUGUCGUGCUUGCUCAAGCCGGCAUCAGGGGUGGAUCUGGCCCUCCCAAUCGGACUCACCUCCGAUUGGGUUGGCUGAAGCACAGAGGCUUAAACUGGGACCCGAAUCGGGCUCAACCGCCCCAGGUAGCAACACCCUCGGGUGCCUACACGAAGUUGUGUCUGAGGACCUGGUUAGGAGCCAAGCAGGAAACGCGUCUCCGGCGCGUAUCUCUGUAUUCGACCUGAGCUCAGGCGAGGCUACCCGCUGAACUUAAGCAUAUCACUAAGCGGAGGGAAAGAAAG
rnacentral:rRNA from 1 species